AUGAAGAGAGUAGAAGAGUACAUACAUGAUACAUUCUCACUCUCACUUUCCACUCAAUCAGCGUGUGUGUUGUUUGUUACAAACUUCGCGAAGAAGCUAACAGAUUCUCAAACAAACUGUGCUCUAUUCUUUAAAUCACUUUCUACUUUCACACAUUCUUCAAUCAAACACACCUUUUUCUUUUUCUUCAAUCAAACACACCUUUUUCUUUUUCUUCAUUCAAAGGUUAAGAGCCAUUGA